CAUGAACUGAAUCGAUCUACUGGUAGUUGUAACGAUUGUUAAUGAGACCCGAAAGGGAAGUUGUAGUUUAACAAAAAUAAAACUUGUAAUAUCUCAAAAUUGUAUAGUAUACUUAUUUAUGAUGGUAUUAUGAUGUUCUAACGUGAAGCGAAAUAUUCAUUUCUGAUGAAAUGAAUCAUCACCAGUUCACAUAUUGCUGUGAUCAAGAUAGGUCAGUUUUGAUUUCCAAUUUUGAAAAGCAGGGAUGGUUUCCAGUUGGUCCAGAAGAAGACUGGAAUUUGUAUUGGGCAUCAGUACAGACUGUGAGAGCUAUCUUCAGUGUUGAGAGUGGAUUUAGACUGUCUGAUUCACAGUAGGUGUUAAUAU